CCGUCAAUUCCUUUAAGUUUUUGUCUGUUGCCGCCCCCGCCCCCCUACGGGAGGCAGCAGUGGGGAAUUUUCCGCAAUGGGCGCAAGCCUGACGGAGCAAGACCGCGUGGGGGAGGAAGGCUCUUGGGUUGUAAACCCCUUUUCUCUGGGAAGAACAAAAUGACGGUACCAGAGGAAUCAGCAUCGGCUAACUCCGUGCCAGCAGCCGCGGUAAGACGGAGGAUGCAAGCGUUAUCCGGAAUGAUUGGGCGUAAAGCGUCCGCAGGUGGCAGUUCAAGUCUGCUGUCAAAGACCGGGGCUUAACUUCGGACAGGCAGUGGAAACUGAACAGCUAGAGUAUGGUAGGGGCAAAGGGAAUUCCUGGUGUAGCGGUGAAAUGCGUAGAGAUCAGGAAGAACAUCGGUGGCGAAAGCGCUUUGCUGGACCAUAACUGACACUCAGGGACGAAAGCUAGGGGAGCGAAUGGGAUUAGAUACCCCAGUAGUCCUAGCCGUAAACGAUGGAUACUAGGUGUUGUCUGUAUCGACCCGGACAGUGCCGUAGCUAACGCGUUAAGUAUCCCGCCUGG
rnacentral:rRNA from 1 species